GUGGGGAAUUUUGGACAAUGGGCGCAAGCCUGAUCCAGCAAUGCCGCGUGCAGGAAGAAGGCCUUCGGGUUGUAAAGCUCUUUUACCCGGGAAGAUAAUGACUGUACCGGGAGAAUAAGCCCCGGCUAACUCCGUGCCAGCAGCCGCGGUAAUACGGAGGGUGCAAGCGUUAUCCGGAAUCACUGGGUUUAAAGGGUACGUAGGCGGUUAAUUAAGUCAGUAGUGAAAGACUGUCGCUCAACGACGGAUGUGCUAUUGAUACUGGUUAACUUGAAUCAGGUUAGAGUUGGCGGAAUGGGUCAUGUAGCGGUGAAAUGCUUAGAUAUGACUUGGAACACCGAUAGCGAAGGCAGCUGACUGAGCCUUGAUUGACGCUGAGGUACGAAAGUGUGGGUAGCGAACAGGAUUAGAUACCCCGGUAGUCC
rnacentral:rRNA from 1 species